GAGGGCACCAAGCUGGCUAUUCCUGCAUGGUGUGUGAGAGUCAGCCAAGUCUAUCAGUGUCUCUGUUUUUCAUGUGGACACCUGACACAGAUACUAGAUGAAGGGAGAGAUGAUGUUUCCUUGCUUCACAGAGCUGAUCGGUAUUCCUCCUUCCCUGUACUCCUUAGUUGUCAUGAAUGGAAAAGUUGUGAAUGACAAAUUGACUGUGAACGGCAGGUGGCCAGAUGCAGUUCUGCUUAUUAAACCUGCAGAUGUGCUUCUACUGUUUGAUGAAGUGUCAGAGCCAUGGCGCUGUAACUCCUUCAGUGAGGAUCUUCUUAAGCCUUGUAACAACUUCACAACNGUGGUGAGAAAGUUGCAGAUGGGCUCCACCAUUAUUCAUUUGUCAUGCCUGACUGAAAGGUUCUCUCUGUCUUGAUGUGACCUCUUCACAUGGAAACAACCCAAAAUAAAAGAAAGAAAAGAGGAACA
rnacentral:lncRNA from 1 species